ensembl:lncRNA
ACUGCACUUGGUGGGUCAGAGGGCCCAUUCAUCGCAGAAGGUGCUGGCACCCGACUCCAGUACUCUUGCCUGGAAAAUCCCAUGGACGGAGGAGCCUGGUGGGCUGCAGUCCAUGGGGUCGCUAAGAGUCGGACACGACUGAGCGACUUCACUUUCACUUUUCACUUUCAUGCAUUGGAGAAGGAAAUGGCAACCCACUCCAGUGUUCUUGCCUGGAGAAUCCCAGGGACGGGGGAGCCUGGUGGGCUGCCAUCUCUGGGGUCGCACAGAGUCGGACAUGACUGAAGCGACUUGGCAGCAGGGCCCAUUCACGUGUUCCCAGGCCCCUGUGUGCCAGGCACUACAUGUGGUCACUGUGGUACCAAGGUGCGCUUCUGCCUUGUUCUAACGAUUCAUGGAUGGUUUCAUUCUUUUCCAAAUUAAAACAAAUCCAUGCAUGUGUUGUUACAUAGUUUUGCUUUAAAAUUUAUAUAGGUCUGUGGUGGAAAAUGUGCUUAUCAAUUUUAUGAAACUAAUAAGCUAAAACAAAUGCAUCAUAUUUUAGCUAAAAUUUGUUCCCUUACAUACGAAGAGUCAUUGUUCUACUCUUUUCAUUGGUGGCUGCCACAGGAAAAACUGAAAAAAUGUGACUUCUACCCAUGUUCAAAAAGCAGACAGACCAAGAAUCUCGUGCCUUGUCUGGAAGCAGGCUGGACUGUUUUGUGCCUUCGAGCUUCUGAAGCGGCCCUGUCUCACAUUCCUUUCCAGACUCCACUCAGAAACCCUUUUCUUUGUGAAGCCCUUCCUGAUAUCUCUCCCAGGUAAAAACCUUACUGUUUGCUUCGUUGUUCGUGGC